rnacentral:rRNA from 1 species
UACGUAGGGCGCAAGCGUUGUCCGGAAUUAUUGGGCGUAAAGAGCUCGUAGGCGGUCUGUCGCGUCGGAUGUGAAAGCCCGGGGCUUAACCCCGGGCGUGCAGUGGAUACGGGCUGGCUGGAGGCAGGCAGGGGAGAACGGAAUUCCCGGUGUAGCGGUGAAAUGCGCAGAUAUCGGGAGGAACACCGGUGGCGAAGGCGGUUCUCUGGGCCUGUACUGACGCUGAGGAGCGAAAGCGUGGGGAGCGAACAGG